GGAAAGGUAAGCUAAUUAAGCUACCAGGUUCAUACCCUGUUCAUGGAAGGAAUUAAUCUUCCCCCUUCCU
rnacentral:tRNA from 1 species